UUUGUUAUGGGCUUAAAUAAAAGAAAAAGUUGUUGUUCCUGAUUUGUCAGUAUUAUUCAAUACAUCAAAAUCGAGUAUGCCCAAGUUGGGCUUUACAGGGUACCAGCCGCACUUCUGGGCAACAUGUAAUGAAACGGAAGAUACAAUUAUAUUGAGGCAAGCAGGGCAACAACGAGGAGCCUGUCUCGUACUGGCAGUCUCCUCCUUGUCCCGAUACCCUCCUCCCUCCUCCCUCCGCCCCUUUGGCUCUUUUGGCUACCGAAGAUUUAUGACAAUGCUGAAGUCAACUAGACUCGAAGACCGUCUGCCCAGCCCAGUCCCUCCCCUUGCUGUUCCACCCUGCCCCGUACCCAUCGCCAAACUAGCCUCCUUUGCAGAAACAAUCCCCUUGCGCCUCCUGGCUCUUCGAGUCCGUGUCCUUGCUCUUGUUCUGGUUCUUGUCCUUGGGCCACAACGUCGCCGCAUAAUCAAUUAGCAAAAAGUCGACAGCAACAGCAAGGAAAGUUCCCACUAUACCCAUAUCUAUUCGACGCCCACGCAACGUCACGCCCACUUUUUUUGCACCACUAGGUCAUGUCAAGUUGGGAAAAUCGCAAUGGAAGAAAAGUCGGCAGUUUUUAUGGGCCACAUAAGGUUUUGAUGUAAAGUAAUGGAGCCCAAUAUAUGCCUGGAUAUAUAACUAAGAAAUUCAAUUAAAAUGUUACCAAUUAUAAGAUUUUACCGCUUUUUAAUGAUAUAUGCACAUUCCAAUAAAUCGGAAGCAGUGAACUGAGUGUCGCCUGGAUGUUUGCAAAUCUCUCAAAAUAUUGUGAAAAUUGUUGACUAAUCUAUUUUGAGGAAGUGACUCCAGCUAAGAGAUCUCAACCAACUUGAUCCAUUCUCAAC
ensembl:ncRNA lncRNA:CR44016 long non-coding RNA:CR44016